rnacentral:rRNA from 1 species
GAUUAACGCUGGCGGCGUGCAUAACACAUGCGAGUCGAACGAUGGAACUUAGUAGACUUCUUCGGAAAGACACUAAGCGGAUUAGUGGCGAACGGGUGAGUAACGCGUGAGUAACCUGCCUUACACAAGGGGAUAGCCUUUGGAAACGAAGAAUAAUACCCUAUAAAACCAUAAAAGCACAUGCUAGAAUGGUCAAAGUGAUAGCGGUGUAAGAUGGACUUGCGUCUGAUUAGCUAGUUGGUGAGAUAAAAGCUCACCAAGGCAACGAUCAGUAGCCGGCUUGAGAGAGUGGACGGCCACAUUGGGACUGAGACACGGCCCAGACUCCUACGGGAGGCAGCAGUGGGGAAUUUUGCACAAUGGGGGAAACCCUGAUGCAGCGACGCCGCGUGAUUUAGAAGGCCUUCGGGUUGUAAAAAUCUUUUGUAUAGGAAGAAAAUGACAGUACUAUACGAAUAAGGUCCGGCUAAUUACGUG